GAAACGGCUACCACAUCUAAGGAAGGCAGCAGGCGCGCAAAUUACCCAAUUCUAAUAGCAAAAGAGAGGUAGUGACAAGAAAUAACAGUACAAGGCAAUUAAAAUGCUUUGUAAUUGGAAUGAUAGAAAUUUAAAUACUUUUUAAAGUAUCAAUUGGAGGGCAAGUCUGGUGCCAGCAGCCGCGGUAAUUCCAGCUCCAAUAGCGUAUAUUAAAAUUGUUGCAGUUAAAAAGCUCGUAGUUGAAUUUCUGCUAGAAAUAACCGGUUUGCUUUUAUUAAUAAAAGUGGUAUCUUGGUGUGUUUCUAGCAAUAAUGUUCUUUGAAAUGUUUUUUACUUAAUUGUAAAAAGCAAAUUUCAGGAUUUUUACUUUGAGAAAAUUAGAGUGUUUCAAGCAUGCUAACGUUUUGAAUACUGCAGCAUGGAAUAAUAAAAUAGGAUUUUAGUUCUA
rnacentral:rRNA from 1 species